UACAGAGGUCUCAAGCGUUGUUCGGAUUCAUUGGGCGUAAAGAGUGCGUAGGUGGCGCGGUAAGUCGGGUGUGAAAUUUCGGAGCUUAACUCCGAAACUGCAUUCGAUACUGCCGUGCUUGAGGACUGGAGAGGAGACUGGAAUUUACGGUGUAGCGGUGAAAUGCGUAGAUAUCGAUAAGGAAGACCAGUGGCGAAGGCGGGUCUCGUGGACAGUUCCUGACGCUGGAGGCACGAAGGCCAGGGGAGCAAACGGG
rnacentral:rRNA from 1 species